UUUACCUAAGAAUGCAUAUUU
rnacentral:piRNA from 1 species